rnacentral:rRNA from 1 species
CAGUCGCCGCGGGAAAACGGAGGGGGCUAGCGUUGUUCGGAAUUACUGGGCGUAAAGCGCACGUAGGCGGCUUGGUAAGUUAGAGGUGAAGGCCCGGAGCUCAACUCCGGAAUUGCCUUUAAGACUGCCGAGCUAGCAGGUGAGAGAGGUAAGUGGAAUUCCGAGUGUAGAGGUGAAAUUCGUAGAUAUUCGGAAGAACACCAGUGGCGAAGGCGGCUUACUGGCUCAUACUGGACGCUGAGGUGCGAAAGCGUGGGGAGCAAACAGGAUUAGAUACCCCAGUAGUCCCUGUCUCUUAUAC